rnacentral:rRNA from 1 species
CAGAACUCCAAGUUCAGCGUGCUUGGGCGAGACUAGUACUAGGAUGGGUGACCUCCUGGGAAGUCCUCGUGUUGCACCCC